rnacentral:rRNA from 1 species
GACGUAGGGCGCGAGCGUUGUCCGGAAUUAUUGGGCGUAAAGAGCUCGUAGGCGGUUUGUCGCGUCUGCUGUGAAAUCCCGAGGCUCAACCUCGGGUCUGCAGUGGGUACGGGCAGACUGGAGUGCGGUAGGGGAGAAUGGAAUUCCUGGUGUAGCGGUGGAAUGCGCAGAUAUCAGGAGGAACACCGAUGGCGAAGGCAGUUCUCUGGGCCGUAACUGACGCUGAGGAGCGAAAGCGUGGGGAGCGAACAGG